CAGCAGCCACGGUAAUACGAAGGGUGCAAGCGUUACUCGGAAUUACUGGGCGUAAAGCGUGCGUAGGUGGUUGUUUAAGUCUGCUGUGAAAGCCCUGGGCUCAACCUGGGAAUUGCAGUGGAUACUGGGCGACUAGAGUAAGGUAGAGGAUAGUGGAAUUUCCGGUGUAGCAGUGAAAUGCGUAGAGAUCGGAAGGAACAUCUGUGGCGAAGGCGACUAUCUGGGCCAUUACUGACACUGAGGCACGAAAGCGUGGGGAGCAAACAGGAUUAGAGACCCGAGUAGUCCCUGUCUCUUAUAA
rnacentral:rRNA from 1 species